UACGUAGGGGGCGAGCGUUGUCCGGAUUUAUUGGGCGUAAAGCGCUCGCAGGCGGCCUGAUGCGUCGUGCGUGAAACACCCCGGCUCAACUGGGGGGGGUCGUGCGAUACGGUCAGGCUCGAGGCCAGUAGGGGGACGCGGAAUUCCGGGUGUAGUGGUGGAAUGCGUAGAGAUCCGGAGGAACACCAGCGGCGAAGGCGGCGUCCUGGACUGGUACUGACGCUCAGGAGCGAAAGCGUGGGGAGCGAUCCGG
rnacentral:rRNA from 1 species